rfam:Otolemur garnettii contig041934, whole genome shotgun sequence.
AAAAAGGUUUUUUUAAAAACCAACCUUCAGGUUUUUUUAGAAGAUC